CUGUAGUAAUAAAUGCACACAAUAAUUUCUGAAUUUACAGUAUUCUUUUCACCACUGUUUGAUGCAUUGUGGGCACAAAGAAAUACUGAGUGUCUAUCCAAGUUUCUGUCCAUCUUGUUUUGUUAAGUGCUUUCACUUGUACAGUUGUAUUUUUGGGUUUUUUUUACCGUAUAUAAAACUGGUAUUAUAGAUUUAUAUCCAUAGGCGGAUCCGGGGGGGGGGGGGGGGGGGGCUUGUAUGGCUCGGGCCCCCCUUUUGUGGGAAAAAUUUGGUUGAUUAUAACAAUUAUAUAGGGACUCACUGAAGCAUUACUGGAGUGGGCCCACCUUAGGUCAGUCAGUGGGCCCCCCUUAGGAAAAGUUCUGGAUCUGCCACUAAUAUCAGCAAUGUCUUGGACAAGUUGGAAAUGUAAAAUUCUAAAAGGGGGUGGGGAUGUGAGGUGUAAAUUCACAACAGCAUAGUGUAUUGCAUUGAAGCAAAAAAAUUAACAUAAUUCAAGUUCUUUGACUACAGUUAUUCUAUGUCAGAAAGCUAUUAUGUGUCAAAUAUUUAAUAACAAUCCAAAUUCAAACCUGUACAUGUAUCAAGUGCGAAUAUUGUGUCCAUUUUUGCCCCAACUGUUCAGGGUUAGACCUCUGCAGUCGUAUCCAGCUGCAAUCUAUGAAGCAAUUUUUUUUUGUCAAAUUGAAUUUUUUAAUUUGUUUUUCUUUCAUAAAAUUCCUUGCUGUUUUAGCAACUUGAGCAAUGUAUCAGUUUGUGAUUAGAUCAAUUUAUGGGGGAACAAUUUGUGUGAUAUUUUAUAUGCAGCUGCAUUAGAAUUAACACCCACUAAAUCCACGAAAAUUGGUAUCAAACGAAUAAUAAUGAAUCCACAGUAUUUAUUUUCUUAUUUUAUUUUCUUAUUUUUUGAUGGACUUGUAUAAGGAAAUGUUAUAAAUAUUCCUGACAAUUUAUUUUUCUACUGGCAAAAGACAUGAAAAUAAAUGGCUUGUGUAAAUAAGUUUGUUUAGUCUUUUGACAAUCUUUUAUUUUCCGAAUAUUGGGUGGGGAAAAGAUAUAGCCUCCGUCUGUCAGACCUGUCUUGUAUGCCCUCUCUCCUACACAAUUUUUUUGCAGAUUUGUUUUUAAAAUAGCUUGCUGUUUCUGGUGACUCUACUUGUUUGUAUAUCAGCAAGGUCUCGGACAAGUUCGAAAAUCAGUGUGUAUGCACUUAUUUUAAAAC
rnacentral:lncRNA from 1 species